rnacentral:rRNA from 1 species
CUGGAAAAUGCCUAUGAGGGGGAUAACUACUGGAAACGGUAGCUAAUACCGCAUAACGUCGCAAGACCAAAGAGGGGGACCUUCGGGCCUCUUGCCAUCGGAUGUGCCCAGAUGGGAUUAGCUAGUAGGUGGGGUAACGGCUCACCUAGGCGACGAUCCCUAGCUGGUCUGAGAGGAUGACCAGCCACACUGGAACUGAGACACGGUCCAGACUCCUACGGGAGGCAGCAGUGGGGAAUAUUGCACAAUGGGCGCAAGCCUGAUGCAGCCAUGCCGCGUGUAUGAAAAGGCCUUCGGGUUGAAAGACUUUCAGCGGGGAGGAAGGCGAUAAGGUAAAACCUUGUCGAUUGACGUACCCCAGAAAAGACCGCUACUCCUGCAGAGCCCGUAAACGAGGGCAGCGUAUCGAAUAUGGCGAAGGAGAGCGUUGCAGCGAGGAUCCCGGCCACUGGAUGAUCAAUGAGUAGUUGAGGGUAAUCGGACGGAUGUAAUUAGACGGGAGGCCUGAAAGCCGGAACGGAAAGAACCGUCCCACUCUAUGCUAGGUCGACUUCCGGAGCCAACAAGGCCAGGAGUUACAAAUUAAAAAUUGCGAACGGCCUUUCCCCUUCGGCAGGGACUCNNAUAAAAUCUUCCCCCACUGUUGGAUUACAUCCUUUGGUGCGUGGACACCUCUGACAAGCCCUGGUGUUAAGGAAAUAUUUCCGCAGCUCCGCUGUGGGUAUUAUAUGAACCCGCCUCUUUUAUCCCUCUAAAUAAACGGGGUGUGGAGGGAUAUCCGGCGGAGGAAUAGGAAUCGGGAGGCCCCUGAAACGCUUCAGGAAGUGGGCAAACAGUUAUUCCUGUUCACGCUUACGUUCGUUGGGGUUCCUGGGGGUUCGAACACCGUUAAUGGCGCUGGGAUACGCCCAAGUAAAUUAAAGAUGGCGGGCCGCCAAGGGGGACCUGGGUUUAUUCGAUGCAACGGGAGACCUUACUACUCUGACAUCCAGAGACUAGCAGAGAUGCUUUGGUGCCUUCGGGAACUCUGAGACAGGUGCUGCAUGGCUGUCGUCAGCUCGUGUGUGAAAUGUUGGGUUAAGUCCCGCAACGAGCGCAACCCUUAUCCUUGUUGCCAGCGGUUAGGCCGGGAACUCAAAGGAGACUGCCAGUGAUAAACUGGAGGAAGGUGGGGAUGACGUCAAGUCAUCAUGGCCCUUACGAGUAGGGCUACACACGUGCUACAAUGGCGCAUACAAAGAGAAGCGACCUCGCGAGAGCAAGCGGACCUCAUAAAGUGCGUCGUAGUCCGGAUUGGAGUCUGCAACUCGACUCCAUGAAGUCGGAAUCGCUAGUAAUCGUGGAUCAGAAUGCCACGGUGAAUACGUUCCCGGGCCUUGUACACACCGCCCGUCACA